rnacentral:rRNA from 1 species
GAUGAACGCUGGCGGCGUGCCUAAUACAUGCAAGUCGAGCGAACAGACGAGGAGCUUGCUCCUCUGACGUUAGCGGCGGACGGGUGAGUAACACGUGGAUAACCUACCUAUAAGACUGGGAUAACUUCGGGAAACCGGAGCUAAUACCGGAUAAUAUAUUGAACCGCAUGGUUCAAUAGUGAAAGACGGUUUUGUUGUCUCUUAUAGAUGGAUCCGCGCCGCUUUAGCUAGUUGGUAAGGUAACGGCUUACCAAGGCGACGAUGCGUAGCCGACCUGAGAGGGUGAUCGGCCACACUGGAACUGGGACACGGUCCAGACUCCUACGGGAGGCAGCAGUAGGGAAUCUUCCGCAAUGGGCGAAAGCCUAACGGAGCAACGCCGCGUGAGUGAUGAAGGUCUUCGGAUCGUAAAACUCUGUUAUUAGGGAAGAACAAAUGUGUAAGUAACUAUGCACGUCUUGACGGUACCUAAUCAGAAAGCCACGGCUAACUACGUG